UACGUAGGGUGCAAGCGUUAAUCGGAAUUACUGGGCGUAAAGCGUGCGCAGGCGGUUUUGUAAGUCUGUCGUGAAAUCCCCGGGCUCAACCUGGGAAUGGCGAUGGAGACUGCAAGGCUAGAGUUUGGCAGAGGGGGGUAGAAUUCCACGUGUAGCAGUGAAAUGCGUAGAGAUGUGGAGGAACACCGAUGGCGAAGGCAGCCCCCUGGGUCAACACUGACGCUCAUGCACGAAAGCGUGGGGAGCAAACAGG
rnacentral:rRNA from 1 species